AACGAACGCUGGCGGCGCGCCUAACACAUGCAAGUCGAACGAGAAUCCGGGGCAACCCGGUAGUAAAGCGGCAAACGGGUGAGGAAUACAUGGGUAACCUACCCUUGAGAAGGGAAUAACCCGCCGAAAGGUGAGCUAAUACCCUAUACGCUAUCUUUUUUUCGAAAAGGAUAGGAAAGCCGGGUCGAGGACCUGGUACUCAAGGAGGGGCUCAUGUCCUAUCAGCUUGUUGGUGGGGUAAAAGCCUACCAAGGCGACGAUCUGUAGCUGGUCUGAGAGGACGACCAGCCACACUGGGACUGAGACACGGCCCAGACUCCUACGGGAGGCAGCAGUGGGGAAUUUUUGGACAAUGGGCGCAAGCCUGAUCCAGCCAUGCCGCGUGCGGGAAGAAGGCCUCGGUUGUAACGACUUUGUCUAGGAGAACGUUAGUAGCGUAAUA
rnacentral:rRNA from 1 species